CCUACGGGUGGCAGCAGUCGAGAAUCAUUCUCAAUGGAGGAAACCCUGAUGGUGCGACGCCGCGUGGGGGAAUGCAGGUCUUCGGAUUGUAAACCCCUGUCAUGUGGGAGCAAAUUGAAAAGAUAGUACCACAAGAGGAAGAGACUGCUAACUCUGUGCCAGCAGCCGCGGUAAUACAGAGGUCUCAAGCGUUGUUCGGAAUCACUGGGCGUAAAGCGUGCGUAGGCUGUUUCGUAAGUCGUGUGUGAAAGGUGGGGGCUCAACCCGCGGAGUGCACAUGAUACUGCGAGACUAGAGUAAAGGUGAGGGAAGCGGAAUUCGCGGUGUAGCAGUGAAAUGCGUAGAUAUCGAGAGGAACACUCGUGGCGAAGGCGGGUUCCUGGACAUUAACUGACGCUGAGGCACGAAGGCCAGGGUAGCGAAAGGGAUUAGAUACCCCAGUAGUC
rnacentral:rRNA from 1 species